rnacentral:lncRNA from 1 species
UGAUGAUGAUGAUGAUGAUGAUCGAGGAAGGAGGUCAAAGACGAAGAAAGAUAAGAAAAAGAAGAGAUUAUAUCCUGAAUCAAGUUCACCUGAUAAGAAAAAGAAGCGAAAAUAUAAUGAAUCAAGUUCACCUGACAAGAAAAAGAAGAGAAAAUAUUCUGAAUCAAGUUCACCUGAUAAGAAAAAGAAGCGAAAAUAUAAUGAAUCAAGUUCACCUGACAAGAAAAAGAAGAGAAAAUAUUCUGAAUCAAGUUCAGCUGAUAAGAAAAAGAAGCAAGAAUAUUCUGAACCAAGUUCACCUGAAAAAAAGAGGAAGCGAAAAUAUUCUGAAUCAAGUUCACCUGACAAUUCUAAGGUUGAUAGGCAGCACAGGAGCAGGCACAGGCGACAUUAUUCAAGUUCAUCUGACAGUUCAGAUUCCGAUAGGAAACAUAGAAGUAAG